UUCAGGAGUUAUGACGCACUUUGCCCCUCUGAAUCGUGCACCCCAUUUUGUGGCUGUCCUGUGCUUCAUGCUGCGAGAAGCAAGCGGUGCAUCUGAAAGUUGUGAUUCAAGAGGGAAGAGGAAAGAUAGCAACAGAGAUAACAAACGAAGAUGCAGAGCUAGAAGCAAACAGCCUUUAGACAAUUUGAAAAAGAAAAGUGUUGUUUGGUGGUUCUCUAGAGAAGAAAGGAAGGGUUCCACGGGAGGAUUUGCAGCCCUUGGCAGAGAGGAGAAAAACUCAGAGGAGAACCCUCAGAGUGUGAGGGGACAUCAAGACAAGGAGAUGGAGCGAGUCAAUGUGGAUGAUGCUUCUAUAAUUAGUGAGCCAUCUUUGAUAUCAGGUGGACAUAGAGGUAGCAUGAUAAUCCCCUUAAACUUUGAGCACUAUUCUCAAGUACAACUGACAGAUCUUACGC